rnacentral:rRNA from 1 species
CUAGGCGGCCAAACUGGAGGGGGUACACCCGGUCCCAUUCCGAACCCGGAAGUUAAGUCCUCAGAGGCCGAUG